GAUGAACGCUAGCGGCAGGCCUAACACAUGCAAGUCGAGGGGUAACAUAGGAAAGCUUGCUUUUCUGAUGACGACCGGCGCACGGGUGCGUAACGCGUAUACAACCUACCUUUUAGCGGGGAAUAGCCCAGGGAAACUUGGAUUAAUGCCCCAUAGUAUAUAGACUUCUCCUGAAGUUUAUAUUAAACAUUUAUGGCUAUUAGAUGGGUAUGCGUCCUAUUAGUUAGUUGGUAAGGUAACGGCUUACCAAGGCAGCGAUAGGUAGGGGUCCUGAGAGGGAGAUCCCCACACUGGUACUGAGACACGGACCAGACUCCUACGGGAGGCAGCAGUGAGGAAUAUUGGACAAUGGGCGAGAGCCUGAUCCAGCCAUGCCGCGUGCAGGAAGACUGCCCUAUGGGUUGUAAACUGCUUUUACAGAGGAAGAACCACCCCCACGUGGGGGGGUUUGACGGUACUCUGCGAAUAAGGAUCGGCUAACUCCGUG
rnacentral:rRNA from 1 species